UUCAAUCUUGCAUACACUAAACCAACUAAUAAAGAUGCUGAGGAGGAAGUAUACUUGGAGUUCCACCAAGCAAGCAAGUGCCGCAAAGAAGGCCGCACUCGCUCACGCUCCUCCGUGCCCUCCUCGUCGCUGCUCUCCUCCCCGGCGUCGAGCAGCUCACUGUCUCCCUCGAUCUCACCGCGAUCAGAUGAAGAAUUGCUGCUGUGAUGGUACUGGGUGUCUCGAGUUAAGCCUUCAUCGAUUGCUUCUCAACUUGCAUCAUGAUCCAAUUCCAGCACCGUUGCUCCAAAAGAGAUGGCUAGUGACAAUGUAUUGCUUGUGAUUUAGCAAUGAGUGUUAGAAAGGACUUGUUCUUGGUUUCUGCUUGUUGCUAGAAUGGUACUAGUCGGACUUCAUCCAAAAUGCAGAGUACCAUGAAUAUUGCAUCGAGAUAACAAACAGAACAAGCUAGUAUUUGUACAUAAUUCAGGCAUAUGCAUUUUUCUCUGCUAAACUUCUGCACAAGCAUAUGUUGAUUCCUUGUGAUCAAUUCCGGUUCCAUUUUCAAAGUGCAUGCUUACCAGCAAAUCUCUGA